GGGGAGCAAUCCCUGAGUAAAGUGGCGACCGGGUGAGUAACACGUGACUAACCUACCCUCGAGUGUGGAAUAACAUCGGGAAACCGAUGCUAAUACCGCAUAACAUCGCAAGAUCAAAGGAGCAAUCCGCUUGAGGAGGGGGUCGCGGCUGAUUAGCUAGUUGGCGGGGUAACGGCCCACCAAGGCGAAGAUCGGUAGCCGGCCUGAGAGGGCGCACGGCCACACUGGAACUGAAACACGGUCCAGACUCCUACGGGAGGCAGCAGUGGGGAAUUUUGCGCAAUGGGGGAAACCCUGACGCAGCAACGCCGCGUGGAGGAUGAAGCCCCUUGGGGCGUAAACUCCUUUCGACCAAGACGAUAAUGACGGUACUGGUGGAAGAAGCACCGGCUAACUCUGUGCCAGCAGCCGCGGUAAUACAGAGGGUGCAAGCGUUGUUCGGAAUUAUUGGGCGUAAAGGGCGCGUAGGCGGCGCGACAAGUCACCUGUGAAAUCCCCGGGCUUAACUCGGGGCCUGCAGGCGAAACUGUCGUGCUGGAGUAUGGGAGAGGUGCGUGGAAUUCCCGGUGUAGCGGUGAAAUGCGUAGAUAUCGGGAGGA
rnacentral:rRNA from 1 species